rnacentral:rRNA from 1 species
UACGUAGGGGGCAAGCGUUGUCCGGAAUCAUCGGGCGUAAAGAGCGUGUAGGCGGCCCGGUAAGUCCGCUGUGAAAGUCCAGGGCUCAACCCUGGGAUGCCGGUGGAUACUGCCGUGACUCGAGUCCGGUAGGGGAGUGUGGAAUUCCCGGUGUAGCGGUGAAAUGCGCAGAUAUCGGGAGGAACACCAGUAGCGAAGGCGGCACUCUGGGCCGGUACUGACGCUGAGGAGCGAAAGCGUGGGGAGCAAACAGG